AACGAACGCUGGCGGCGUGCCUAACACAUGCAAGUCGAACGAGAAAGGGGCUUCGGCUCCGAGUAAAGUGGCGCACGGGUGAGUAACACGUGGGUAACCUGCCUCUAAGAUUGGGAUAACUCGUCGAAAGAUGAGCUAAUACCGGAUAAGACCACAGUUCCCGCGGGAACAGGGGUCAAAGGUAGCCUCUGCUUGCAAGCUAUCACUUAGAGAUGGGCCUGCGCACCAUUAGCUAGUUGGUAGGGUAACGGCCUACCAAGGCAAAGAUGGUUAGCUGGUGUGAGAGGAUGAUCAGCCACACUGGAACUGAGACACGGUCCAGACUCCUACGGGAGGCAGCAGUGGGGAAUAUUGCGCAAUGGGCGAGAGCUUGACGCAGCAACGCCGCGUGAGUGAUGAAGGCCUUCGGGUCGUAAAGCUCUGUCGGGAGGAACGAAUGCUCCCAAGGUUAACAGCCUCGGGAGGUGACGGUACCUUCAAAGGAAGCACUGGCUAACUCUGUGCCAGCCGCCGCUGUAAAAC
rnacentral:rRNA from 1 species